UGCCGCUUUAAGUAAUAGCAGAGGAGUAUUAAAGGAAUAGAUGCUCUAUAUGUCAAAAGAGGGAAGCGGAUGGAGAGAUGCGAACAGGGAACAAAGGAAAAUAAUUAAAGGAAUUAUGCGGCUUGGUCAUCUUUAUGUCUCUAAUGAGAUAUAGAUUUCGUAUGAAAAAUAUCAUGCGAAAUAAGAUCUUGAUAAUAACUCACCUGAUUCGUGUCUAGUAAGAAAGGAAUAUGAGAUCCUGGAAGGUUCUCAUUAUGAGUAGGUGGAAAGCAUAGUUAGAUAUGUUUGUAUUAAUUAUUAUUUGAAUGGCGACAUAGAGUGGAAAACAGGAGAUCAGGACUAUGGUUAAAUUGGUGUCUGUAAACGUGCAGGGUCUUAAUAUACCAGUUAAGAGGAUAACGGUGCUGAACUAUUUAAGAAAAGUACAUGCUGAUAUAUGUUUCCUUCAGGAGCUCCAUUGGUGAACGAAAGAUAAACGUCAAUGGAACCCUAUGGGUUUCCCUUUAGUGAUACAUGCCUCAAGAAUUGACAAUAAAAAGAAAUGUGGAGUGGCCAUAUUGUGUUCUAGUGCUAUCCAGGUAGAAAUGUUAUAUUAAUUCCUGGACAAAGAUGGCCAAUAUAUGAUAUUGGUAACUAAAGUAGACAACAUUAAGUAUAUCUGGGUAAAUAUAUAUCUCCCGAAUGUUGCACCAAAUACCUUAUUAAGGGAAAUUCUGGAAAGCGUGGAGGAGGUAAAGGAGGGUACUCUUGUAUUAGCAGGCAAUUUUAACUCAAUUAUAGAUCCAAUACAAGAUAAAAAAGUUCCAGAAGGCGCUUCUAUUAGCAGACAUUCUGUAAAACAAGCAAAAUCACUAAUGAAUAUUCUAAAUCUAAAUAACCUAUUCGAUAUUUGGAGGGUGUUCCAUCCGGAGUAAAUGGAAUAUACUCAUCUUUCCAGGGUUCACCACUCUCUAUCAAGAAUAGAUAUGAUAUGGGGUUGUUAUGGACAGAUGAAUUAAAAUAAAAUGGCUAUUUACUGAUGUCUAUUUAUUCUCUGUUCACUAUGUUAAAACUGGCUUGUAGAGUAAAUAUUCCCUUCCCCCCCUACAAUGUGUUCAGUUGCUGUUUACUAUGUAAAUUCUUCAUCCUGAUAAGCAUCCCCCUUCAAAUCAAGCAAACCUUGUGUAACCAAAAUUCCUGUGAUAACAGCUCCCUUUACUAACUCCUCCCCCACUACCUUUGUGCCAGUUAACAGCUAUAUGCCACGUAUAACAAAAUGGAGAAUCACUGUUAAAGUAAACUCAAAGAAACUACUCACUCCCCCUCCCAUCGUGUAUCCAGAAGUCUGUAGAAAAGACCCCCCUUAGACUGUUAACCAAUUGGUGAAUGUAUACUGUAUGUUUAAACUGUGACGUAUUUUUGCUUUAAGAAGGAGCCCCCACUCCGGGGAAUAAAGCAUUCCUGGGUUUUUCACUGAUCAGAAACUUUGUCUCCGGUGUGAAUUACUUCUAGGGAAAGCGUGCACGCAUUAAUCAAUCAAUUUGGAAGGUGUAGAUAGACAAAUUAUCAAAGUUUUCUUUGAUCUAAAACAGG